GAGCCAAUGACCCUUCGGAAAAGUUUGCUCACGGCAUUGGAGAGGUCUUAAGCCAGCCCAGCAAUGGAAUGGGAACUUCAGAGCAUUUUCAAACAAGGAAGUGUUGCAGAAGGAAAGAUUGUGUAGCAACAAACAAUCUGCUGGAGGAACUCAGAAAGAUUGUGUAUUUUCAUUUCAAUGCUACAGAAGAACCCUGGUAAUCCAAGAUCAUGGAGAAUGAGGAGACGGCUUUCAUGGAAAGAACUUGAAAGAAGAGAGUAUAAUGGUAUUACCUUACUGGUGCUUGGUGAUGGAGGGAUUAACUGUCGGAAAGACUGCCAGUGCUAUGAUGUGUACACUCCUGCUGUGGUCCCAAUGUCUUAACUGAAAGGCAUCACGAGUGACAAGGAAAUGGCAACAUGUAAAAGUGGUGAUUUCUUCAUGAAUUCAGUGGAUACAGCAGCCCUUAUAUUCUUGGAGAGAAAUUGCCUAUAACUUCAGUCCUUUGGAAUGCAGGAUGACUUGAUCCCGCUCUGGUAUCGUGAAUUCUGAGAUGGUUAAUGAAGACAGUGUGGGAACUGCAGACAUUUUCA